UUUAAUGGAGGAGGCGCUCAUCGAUUUAGCUAUGGAGGAGGAGGAUUGGGAUUCCGGUGGAGAUCGGGUUUGAAGGAGAGAGAAGAUGAAGAUUUCGAGUGGGGUCCAUGCCCCUUUUUCUUUUUCUUUUUUUGUUUAAAUUAAUUCAAAUAGUAAGAAGGAUAAAAUAUGUCAUUAUUUAAGUCAACAUAUGGUUCAAAGGUAGUUAGAACAUAGGAGGGUAUAAAAGUAUAUAUAUUUUAGUUAAAGGGCAUGAGAGAUUUUGUUCCGAGUAAGUUUAUCGUUUUUUU
rnacentral:lncRNA from 1 species